CUUAUCCUUAUCUUGGGGUUGUGCCACUGUUCAAUGAAUAUCUAGUGAGAACAGUCCUGCUAACACCUACACAUCUUCAAAACUAAAAUAAUGCAACU
rnacentral:ncRNA from 1 species